GACGUAGGGCGCGAGCGUUGUCCGGAUUUACUGGGCGUAAAGGGCGUGCAGGCGGUUUGUUAAGUCUAGGGUGAAAGCUCCCGGCUCAACUGGGAGAGGUCCUUGGAUACUGGCAGACUUGAGGAGGGUAGAGGAGAGUGGAAUUCCCGGUGUAGUGGUGAUAUGCGUAGAUAUCGGGAGGAACACCAGUGGCGAAGGCGACAUCCUGGACCGGUAUUGACGCUGAGGCGCGAAAGCCAGGGGAGCAAACGGG
rnacentral:rRNA from 1 species